GAUGAACGCUGACAGAAUGCUUAACACAUGCAAGUCAACUUGAACUUCGGUUUGGGUGGCGGACGGGUGAGUAACGCGUAAAGAACUUGCCUCACAGCUAGGGACAACAUUUGGAGACGAAUGCUAAUACCUGAUAUUAUGAUUAUAUGGCAUCGUAUAAUUAUGAAAGCUAUAUGCGCUGUGAGAGAGCUUUGCGUCCCAUUAGCUAGUUGGAGAGGUAACAGCUCACCAAGGCGAUGAUGGGUAGCCGGCCUGAGAGGGUGAUCGGCCACAAGGGGACUGAGACACGGCCCUUACUCCUACGGGAGGCAGCAGUGGGGAAUAUUGGACAAUGGACCGAGAGUCUGAUCCAGCAAUUCUGUGUGCACGAUGAAGUUUUUCGGAAUGUAAAGUGCUUUCAGUUGGGAAGAAAAAAAUGACGGUACCAACAGAAGAAGUGACGGCUAAAUACGUG
rnacentral:rRNA from 1 species